rnacentral:snRNA from 1 species
GUGCUCACCUGGACAGCACAUAUACUAAAAUUGGAACGAUACAGAGAAGAUUACAUGGCCCCUGCACAAGGAUGAUAUGCAAAUUUGUGAAGCGUUCCAUAUUUUU